UACGGAGGGUGCAAGCGUUAAUCGGAAUUACUGGGCGUAAGCGUGCGCAGGCGGUUUGUUAAGUCCGUUGUGAAAGCCCCGAGCUCAACUUGGGAAUUGCAGUGGAUACUGGCAGGCUGGAGUACGGUAGAGGAAGGUGGAAUUCCCGGUGUAGCAGUGAAAUGCGUAGAUAUCGGGAGGAACACCAGUGGCGAAGGCGGCCUUCUGGACCAGUACGUGACGCUCAUGCGACGAAAGCGUGGGGAGCAAACAGG
rnacentral:rRNA from 1 species